GAUCCUGGCUCAGGAUGAACGCUGGCGGCGUGCUUAACACAUGCAAGUCGAACGAAGCUCCCCGAUACAAGGCUUCGGCCAAGUUGAAGGGAUGACUUAGUGGCGGACGGGUGAGUAACGCGUGAGGAACCUGCCUUUCAGUGGGGGACAACAGUUGGAAACGACUGCUAAUACCGCAUAAUGUUUCUGGACCGCAUGAUCUGGAAACCAAAGCUUUAUGUGCUGAAAGAUGGCCUCGCGU
rnacentral:rRNA from 1 species